rnacentral:tRNA from 2 species
GGAGGCGUGACCGAGUGGUUUAAGGUAGCGGUUUACUAAACCGCCGUUCCCUAAUCGGAACCGUGAGUUCAAAUCUCACCGCCUCCG